GGUUGUAGCUCAGUGGUAGAGUGUUUGCAUUGCAGGCAGGAGGCACUGGGUUCAAUCCUCAGCACCA
rnacentral:tRNA from 1 species